GCCUUCAUGAAGCCGGAAUUGCUAGUAAUGGCAGGUCAGCAUACUGCCGUGAAUACGUUCCCGGGCCUUGUACACACCGCCCGUCACACCAUGAGAGUUGGGAAUACCCGAAGCCUGUGAGCUAACGAAAGAGGCAGCAGUCGAAGGUAGAAUCAAUGAUUGGGGUGAAGUCGUAACAAGGUAUC
rnacentral:rRNA from 1 species